CGUGCCUGGCGCUAGGACCCAGGAGGAUGCGAGGCGGCUCUUAGAGCCAGAUUGCAAAUUCGUCGUGAUUUAAUGUGCUCGGUGUUUGCGUACAGCGUGCGACGGCUGGAGCAGGUUAGUGCUGUCUGUGGGGCCGGGCUCGGAGUCGGCGGGGUGUGUGGCAAGCAAGAUGGAGUAUGAGUGGAAACCUGACGAACAGGGGCUUAAGCAGAUCCUGCAGCUGCUUAAGGAGUCCCAGUCCCCGGACACCACCACGCAGAGAGCCGUGCAACAAAAACUAGAACAACUCAAUCAGUAUCCAGAUUUCAACAACUAUCUGAUUUUUGUUCUUACCAAGUUGAAGUCUGAAGGUAAGUUCUUGAGAUAUUGGCUGG